rnacentral:rRNA from 1 species
CAGGCCCUUUUAGCGGCGGACUGGUGAGUAACGCGUGGGCGAUCUGCCUUUGGGCUUGGGGACAGCCAGCUGGAAACAGCGGGUAAUACCGAAUACGCUGGGGCCGCUAAGGCGGCUUCAGGAAAGGGGCUGAGUGCCCCGCCCAAAGAUGAGCCCGCGUCCCAUUAGCUAGUCGGCGGGGUAACGGCCACCGAGGCGAAGAUGGGUAGCCGGCCUGAGAGGGCGAACGGCCACACUGGGACUGAGAUACGGCCCAGACUCCUACGGGAGGCAGCAGCUAAGAAUAUUCCGCAAUGGGCGAAAGCCUGACGGAGCGACGCCGCGUGGAUGACGAAGUGCCGAAAGGUUGUAAAAUUCUUUUGCGGGCGAAGAAGAAGCAUAGGAGGGAAUGCCUGUGCGGUGACGCCGGCCCGCGAAUACGCCCCGGCUAAAUAC